ensembl:ncRNA R02D5.18 ncRNA
GAGAUUGAAGUAGUCAUGUGUGAGGAUGAAAUGAAUGAACAAAAAUGGGUGGAAAGAUGAAAAAGACCUUGACUCGAGACUAACCUGUCGGAAC